rnacentral:sRNA from 1 species
UUGUUGAUGAUGGUAGCGCAACGCAUGU